GGCAUUGGAAGUACCUGUGCUUCAGUAAGAUUUUAGCAAUCUUAGUGCAGAUUGGAUUCACGUAUCCUCUGCUGGGGCACUCAAUGUAUUAGAUCAGUCUGCGUAUGUCUGCUUCUUAGCCAGGAGCCUAUUGAACAGUUACGGGGGGAUAGUUGCUCCUACCGCUAG